rnacentral:lncRNA from 1 species
GGAAAGGUGUGACAACUGGAAGCAGUUGUGUGCCAUGUGUGGAUGUGCACCAAGAGAGAUGAAGCCAUAUCUUCUACAACUCUUCAGUUUUUGAAAUUCAGAAGUUUCAAGAUUACGUUGACUGAAGUAGAUCAUAUUUGGCAAAGCUGUAGGUGACAGGGAAAGUUAAUCAACUGGAAGGAAAUGGAAGGGAAGAAUGUGGUCUACCUCUUCUCUCUCUACUUGAAAUUCAAGCAAGACCUUGGAGAAUACAGGUGGAGCUGGACCUGCAACCGGUGAUUGAACUACCAGUUUCUGAAGGCCACCCAUUCACACCUAUUUCCCGCUACUCCAGGUAAGACACUCACGGCAGGCAGUCUCCCGGGAAACAGAAGUCUCUAUUUGUUACCAUCAUCGUCUGGCUCAUGAUCCUAAUGAGGACCAAGAUUCCUGUGGGAUCAAGUUCCCCUCUGAGGAUUCUUGAGAGCCGCCUUCCUGAAUCCUCACAAACACCUUCCUACCUACUUCCUUCCAUUAACAAUUACCUUUCCAUCUUUAUUUUUUUGCCUACGACAAGCACCCUUAACACACUCAUACCUGUUUCACCUUUCUUCCGUAAUAACCUAGAUUUUAUUUUCAUGUUGAGGAAAAACACUAUUUUCCACUAGGCUAUCUGCAGCUGGAGGAGGCCGUGAGUCACCGUUUUGAGCCUAGAGAUGUAAACAGAAGUUGCUGGGAAGAGCUUCUAGGAAGCCUCUGUAAGAUGAUUAUCUCAGUUGGGUCUGUCUUUUUGCUUUGUCCAUCCCUUUUUUAACUUUGGAGUGUGCGUGUGAUACAGGAGGUGAAGCAGUCAUUUUGUGACUAUGAGGAGAUAAAGCCACAUGGGUAAGUUGGCAGAGCAGGACACUGGGAGAAGCAUGUGCUUCUGUUGGCAAUGAGGGAUCAUCAUACUAUUCCUAAACAGUCUAAGUCCUGAGGUCUCGUGUGUGUUCUUACUUGUUCAUUACUCUACUUUUUCAGGUUGUAUAUUACUUACAGUUCAAUACAAUCUAAACCUUAACCAGUCAUUCUCCUAGUUAGACUGUGAGCUCCUAGAGGGAAGUUUGGCAUGUGAUAUGUUUCUUAUGGUCCCUGCAGUAUCUAGCACGUGCUAGUAGGGAUCAGGUAUGCAAUACUCAUCUAUUGAUUGAUUUGGGAUACAGUGAGUUGAGGUAAGAGAGAAACAGAAGUCAACUCCAACACGUCAAAGAAUAAAGUUUGCUGUUGGUCUCAACAGCCCCAGGGCAUCUUUACUGCAGUGUGAUCUCUCUCUCCUAUCCAGUGAGGCUCCAAAAUAUGGCUUUAAUUAUCCUUCCUAAGUUUUACAAAAUUCACUGAGCUUUUGUCUUUAAAACAGUAUUCCUUCCCCAUCUCUGGUGUGAAAAAAAAAUUACGACCAGAGUUUUACAUCUUUUUCUUUCCGAUAUUUCCAGAAAAGUAUGCCCUAGUCUAAUUUGCAGGUGGAAAUUGAAAAUGUAUCUCGCUGACCUCAAGGGAUGAUAUUCAGGAGCUUCAGGGAAUCUUCAGCUAAUGGGAGAAGCACAAGCAGAUUAAUGGAUCCCAAAGACAAAAUGCCUAUCCUAGCUCAAAUGACAUCUCGUGGAUCUUGAAAAGUGGAGCUUUCUGUGCCCAUCUUCAGAAAGAGACAUCAGACAAUCUUAACAUUUCUGCAGCUGAACAUGGGAUGAGAAGAGGGCAAUCUUCCAGUGGGUCCACCACAUUUUCUUUCCAAUUGAGCCAAUUCAUGGUCUCUUCUGGCAACUGCAAGGCCAGAUGUGAAUUUACCACUUUAUUGAGUGAAGCGGUCUGGGCAUUGUGAGACUCACAUAUGCACCCAGAGGGGAAGGGACCCUCACUCUGGGAAUGGAAAUCAAUUCAUAAUUGUACCCAGACAAAUGGGGCACACACUUCAGAUCUAUUACAGGAUUUAGUCGGAAUCAGAAGAACAAAGGCAUAAAGUAGAAACACAUUCAUAUGCCAGGCACAGGUAGGGGCUGGGGAGGGUAGAAAGUCCAGGGUUCCUGGCCGGCGAAGAAGGGCUCUGCUCAGCAUCUCAUGCUGGAGUGCAAGAGUAUAAAAUAAGGUAACUAAGGACAUGAAGCUUGGCCGCCUGCACCAUUUGAAAAAAGAAAAAUCAAACUGUGUUUUAUGAGUUUUUCUGGCUGAGUGGGCUGAUGGUAAAAGUGAUUGCAUAAGUGAAUAAAUUGAAAUAUGUAUCCUGGUUGUGUCAAAAGCAAAAAUAAUUAUUUUGUUCUUGGUGAGAUAUAGUGUUUAACUGCCAACACAUCAACCCAAAUAAAAAGGAAAUCUGCCUUUAGAUCUAGUAAUACAUUUAUUAACAAAUGAUGUAUCUGAAUUAUCCAUCGUUUUGAUCCACAUUUUGCAGAAAGGCA